GUUACCGUUACCGUUAGUCAGGUUGUGUGCGGGGAAUUACUAUAUGGACUAUUCUCAUCUAACGGACAAUCAGAACUUAAUUUCCCCACGUUGUUACUAACACGCACACUUUAUCGUAAUCCCCAUCUCAAAAUUGAAUAUAUAAAUCAACUUUAUCGGCAACAACUUUGAUUUCCCCUGACACUUCUUUUGAUUGCGAUCCGUCGCCAAUAAUUGUGAUAAAUCUUAUCAAGUCGCCGCUUCUUUUGGGUUGUCCCUCAAAUUUACGACAUGGGCGUACUUUCCUCUUCUGUAUGGUUUUUUAACUGAUUAAUCAGCACAAUGCAAAGUUCUCUUUCUUUGUUGAACCCACAUACAUAUGAAUAUUACAAUGCGUUCGGUAAGCGGCUGAUAAGAAAUACGAUCCAUUGAAGAAAGGCCUUGACAGUCCUACCCCAAAUUAGAGAUGCCCUUGUGAUGUUAUAAAGAACCUGACAUAUUUUUUCUUAUCAUGUACAAAUUUGUAGAUCCCCUAUCUCAAUGAAUAAAUAAAUUUAAAAAGA